rnacentral:rRNA from 1 species
AUUGAACGCUGGCGGCAGGCCUAACACAUGCAAGUCGAACGAGUGGCGGACGGGUGAGUAAUGUCUGGGACACUGCCUGAUGGAGGGGGAUAACUACUGGAAACGGUAGCUAAUACCGCAUACCAUCAGAUGUGCCCAGAUGGGAGUAGCUUGUAGGUGGGGUAACGGCUCACCUAGGCGACGAUCCAUAGCUGGUCUGAGAGGAUGACCAGCCACACUGUAACUGAGACACGGUCCAGACUCCUACGGGAGGCAGCAGUGGGGAAUAUUGCACAAUGGGCGCAAGCCUGAUGAAGCCAUGCCGCGUGUAUGAAGAAGGCCUUCGGGUUGUAAAGUACUUUCAGCGGGGAGGCGUUACCCGCAGAAGAAGCACCGGCUAACUCCGUGCCAGCAGCCGCGGUAAUAC